rnacentral:rRNA from 1 species
GAUGAACGCUGGCGGCGUGCCUAAUACAUGCAAGUCGAGCGAACGGACGAGAAGCUUGCUUCUCUGAUGUUAGCGGCGGACGGGUGAGUAACACGUGGAUAACCUACCUAUAAGACUGGGAUAACUUCGGGAAACCGGAGCUAAUACCGGAUAAUAUUUUGAACCGCAUGGUUCAAAAGUGAAAGACGGUCUUGCUGUCACUUAUAGAUGGAUCCGCGCUGCAUUAGCUAGUUGGUAAGGUAACGGCUUACCAAGGCAACGAUGCAUAGCCGACCUGAGAGGGUGAUCGGCCACACUGGAACUGCGACACGUUCCAGACUCCUACGGGAGGCAGCAGUAGGGAAUCUUCCGCAAUGGGCGAAAGCCUGACGGAGCAACGCCGCGUGAGUGAUGAAGGUCUUCGGAUCGUAAAACUCUGUUAUUAGGGAAGAACAUAUGUGUAAGUAACUGUGCACAUCUUGACGGUACCUAAUCAGAAAGCCACGGCUAACUACGUG